rnacentral:rRNA from 1 species
CACGUAGUUAGCCGUGGCUUUCUGAUUAGGUACCGUCAAGAUGUGCACAGUUACUUACACAUUUGUUCUUCCCUAAUAACAGAGUUUUACGGGCCGAAACCCUUCAUCACUCACGCGGCGUUGCUCCGUCAGGCUUUCGCCCAUUGCGGAAGAUUCCCUACUGCUGCCUCCCGUAGGAGUCUGGACCGUGUCUCAGUUCCAGUGUGGCCGAUCACCCUCUCAGGUCGGCUACGUAUCGUCGCCUUGGUAAGCCGUUACCUUACCAACUAGCUAAUACGGCGCGGGUCCAUCUAUAAGUGAUAGCAAAACCAUCUUUCACUUUAGAACCAUGCGGUUCUAAAUGUUAUCCGGUAUUAGCUCCGGUUUCCCGAAGUUAUCCCAGUCUUAUAGGUAGGUUACCCACGUGUUACUCACCCGUCCGCCGCUAACUUCAAAGGAGCAAGCUCCUUAUCUGUUCGCUCGACUUGCAUGUAUUAGGCACGCCGCCAGCGUUCAUCCUGAGCCAGGAUCAAACUCU